rnacentral:lncRNA from 13 species
AUAGGGACGGUUCAGCGCUGAGAUAUUUGUCGAGACCAGUAUCCUAAUAGACGAAAUAGCAGCAAGCAGUUAGUUGUAGCUUUUAGCCAGAGAUUACUUAUCACAACUCCCUUUGGAGUGAGUCUGUAGUGUGUGUGUGUGUGUUCACAUGCUACGGGAGAGACAAGAGGAAUCAUGACAUUGACAAAAUCUUUUUAGUGGAGCAAAAUAUUUCCUAGAAGACUGUUCUACUCUGGUGUGUCUGUCUGUCUGUCUGUCUGUAGUACUAUAGACAUGUGUAGUAGACUGGGUAUGUCUGUCUGUAGUACUAUAGACAUGUGUAGUAGACUGGGUCUGUCUGUCUGUAGUACUAUAGAGAUGUGUAGUAGUCUGGGUCUAUCUGUAGUACUAUAGAGAUGUGUAGUAGUCUGGGUCUGUCUGUAGUACCAACAUAUGCAGAUGGCUGUGCGUGACAUUCAACGAGCCUCGCUGGCUGUGCGUCUUGCGACAGGUUGUAAAGCAGAGCAACUGUCCUCAGAUCUGAAUCAUUAUAAAUUGAUUCACGUUUGCCUCCUCCUCCUCUCUUCUUCUUCUAAGACCUAAGGCUACUGUAUUAGUUGUCGCUAGGUUGCCAGGCCAACAACUAGUCUUCCUCCGGGUCGAGCAUCAGUCUUCCUCCGGGUCGAGCAUCAGUCUUCCUCCGGGUCGAGCAUCAGUCUUCCUCCGGGUCGAGCAUCAGUCUUCCUCCGGGUCGAGCAUCAGUCUUCCUCCGGGUCGAGCAUCAGUCUUCCUCCGGGUCGAGCAUCAGUCUGUUGCCAGGCCAACAACUAGUCUUCCUCCGGGUCGAGCAUCAGUCUUCCUCCGGGUCGAGCAUCAGUCUUCCUCCGGGUCGAGCAUCAGUCUUCCUCCGGGUCGAGCAUCAGUCUUCCUCCGGGUCGAGCAUCAGUCUUCCUCCGGGUCGAGCAUCAGUCUUCCUCCGGNNNNNNNNNNCUGUAAAUGUCCAUAUAACCCUGACUGAUCCUACCUACUGUAAAUGUCAAGGUAACCCUGACUGAUCCUACCUACUGUAAAUGUCCAGAUAACCCUGACUGAUCCUACCUACUGUAAAUGUCCAGAUAACCCUGACUGAUCCUACCUACUAUAAAUGUCUAGGUAACCCUGACUGAUCCUACCUACUGUAAAUGUCUAGGUAACCCUGACUGAUCCUACCUACUGUAAAUGUCUAGGUAACCCUGACUGAUCCUACCUACUGUAAAUGUCUAGGUAACCCUGACUGAUCCUACCUACUGUAAAUGUCUAGGUAACCCUGACAGAUCCUACCUACUGUAAAUGUCUAGGUAACCGUGACGGCUGACCUCUGAGCCCAUCAGUCACUGUAAUGUCCCUCUUCCUCCUGCUCUACCAGUCCAGAGACGUCUCGGACCCAGAGGGUGGUCAAGAGGGGGCCUGACGUCCUGUCAGACACCCCAGGGAGGGGACACCAGACAGGCUGGAUCUGCCUAGGAGUAGUUUACUGCCUAAAAAAAAGGGUUUAAAUGUGCAAAAAAAUAUAAAUAUGUUCCCGAUCUGAAAUCUCUCAGAAAGACGACUGAGAACAAGCUUCCUUUAGAUUAUUUUGGGACCAUGUGUUGUACAUGAAUCUGUUAUUCAAUGAAUUUCUACGGGUUAAUAGCAGUAAGGCCAAAUCGUUUUUUUCCCCCCCCAUCAAAUAAAUGUAUUUAUAGCAUAAGCUAUUUGAGAUCACGUACGGGCUCGCUCGCAUGGACAGGCUCAUGAUCAUUAGACAGGUGCACCUUCUACGGAGGACAAUAAAAGGCCACUUUUAACGGUGCAGCUUCGUCACACAACACAAUGACACAGACGUCUCAAGUUCUGAGGGAGAUUGUAAUUGGCAAGCUGACUGCAGGAAAACGUCCACCAGAGAAUUCAACGUUCAUUUCUCUACCAUAAGCCAUUUAAGUGACGGAGAAAGAAAUAUUGCACGGUGUCAUUAGUGUGUUGACUCACAUGAUGAUGACAACAGGAGAAUUAGGGUUCAUUAAAUAGGGCACUACGUAGUUGUCUAGCGUGUACACUCACCCGGAUCAUCAGCACGGCCUUGCGGAUGUCGCGGACGCCAUCGU